rfam:Microgenomates bacterium OLB23 TZ22_OP11002CONTIG000026, whole genome shotgun sequence.
UAUUUUAAGAGUUUGAUCCUGGCUCAGGAUGAACGCUUGCGGUGUGCCUAAGAUAUGCAAGUCGAACGUCUCUCCGACGCAAGUCGGAGGGUAGUGGCAGACGGCUGAGUAACACGUAGGAAUCUACCCCUAGGUGAGGUAUAGCCCCGAGAAAUCGGGGGUAAUCCCUCAUAAUAUCUCCGGAUUAAAGAGCGUAACUGCUCGCCAAGGGAGGAGCCUGCGGCCUAUCAGGUAGUUGGUGUGAUAAUAGCGCACCAAGCCUAUGACGGGUAGCUGACCUCAUGAGGGUGAUCAGCCAGAGGAGUACUGAGAUACGGACUCCACAUCUACGGAUGGCAGCAAUCAGGAAUCGUUGGCAAUGGGCGAAAGCCUGACCACGCGACACCGCGUGCGGGAUGAAGCCUCUCGGGGCGUAAACCGCUGUGGCGAGGGAAGAAGAUCUAAUUUAUUAGAUUUGACGGUACCUCGCUAGAAAGUAGCCGCUAACUUCGUGCCAGAAGCGUCGGUGAUACGGGGGCUACAAGCGUUAUCCGGUGUGACUGGGCGUAAAGGGUCUGUAGGCGGUUUUCCAAGUUACUUUUUAAAGACCUCGACUCACUCGAGGGAAGGGAAGUAAGACUGUUGAACUGGAGUUUUCUUUAGGGUAAUCGGAAUUGAUAGAGGAGUAGUGAAAUGCGUUGAUACUAUCAAGAACACCAAUGGCGAAGGCAGAUUACUGGAAGAAAACUGACGCUGAAAGACGAAAGCUAGGGGAGCGAACCGGAUUAGAGACCCGGGUAGUCCUAGCCCUAAACGAUGCUCGCUAGUUGCAUUUCUUUUAGUUUAUCUUUAAGGGGUGUGGCGAAGCUAACGCGUUAAGCGAGCCGCCUGGGGAGUACGGCCGCAAGGCUGAAACUCAAAGGAAUUGGCGGGGAGAUACACAACCAGUGGAACAUGUGGUUUAAUUCGAGACAAACCGAAGCACCUCACCAGGGCUUGACAUGCAACUGCAAGCUUAGGGAAACCUAGGCCGCCUUCGAGGGCGUUGCACAGCUGUUGCAUGGCUGUCGUCAGUUCGUUCCGUGAGGAGUGCCCUUAAGUGGGACAACGAACGUAACCUUCGCCCUAUGUUAAAUCUGUCAUAGGGGACUGCCCUCGCUAUGCGGGGGAGGAAGGAGAAGCAGACGUCAAGUCAGCAUGACGCUUAUGCUCUGGGCGACACACAUGUUACAAUGAGGCCGACAAAGAGUUGCGAAACGGCGACGUGAAGCUAAUCUCAUAAACGGUCUCUCAGUGGGGAUUGAAGUCUGCAACUCGACUUCAUGAACGCGGAAUUGGUAGUAAUCGCAGAUCAGCCAAGCUGCGGUGAAUACGUUCUUAUCUCUUGCACACACUGCCCGUCAAGCCAACAAAGUCGGUAGUGCCUGAAGGCUCUGUUAAAGGGGACGAAGGUAAGAUCGGCGAUGGGGACUAAGUCGUAACAAGGUACCCGUUCUGGAAGGAGCGGGUGAAUCACCUCCUUU